AGAGUUGAUCCUGGCUCAGGACGAACGCUGGCGGCGUGCCUAAUGCAUGCAAGUCGCACGCAGAGUGCUUGCACUCUGAGUGGCGCACGGCUGAGGAACUCGUGGGUACCUGCCUCCCAGUGGGGGAUAACAGCCCGAAAGGACUGCUAAUCCCGCAUACGCCUGGCUUCGGCCAAGGAAAGCAGCAAUGCGCUGGGAGAGGGGCCUGCGGCCCAUCACGGUUGUUGGCGGGGUAACGGCCCACCAAGCCUUUGACGGGUAGCUGGUCUGUGAGGACAACCAGCCAGACUGGGACUGAGAUACGGCCCAGACUCCUACGGGAGGCAGCAGCAAGGAAUUUUCCACAAUGGGCGCAAGCCUGAUGGAGCAACGCCGCGUGCAGGACGACGGCCUUCGGGUUGUAAACUGUCUUUUGGGGGGAAGACAUCGACGGUACCCCCGGAAUAAGCCUCGGCUAACUCUGUG
rnacentral:rRNA from 1 species